rnacentral:rRNA from 1 species
GGGUUUAAAGGGUGCGCAGGCGGACCUAUUAGUCAGUGGUGAAAUCCCGAGGCUCAACCUCGGAACUGCCAUUGAUACUGUAGGUCUUGAGUUUGGUUGAAGUGGGCGGAAUGUAGCAUGUAGCGGUGAAAUGCAUAGAUAUGCUACAGAACACCGAUCGCGAAGGCAGCUCACUAAACCAAAACUGACGCUCAGGCACGAAAGCGUGGGUAGCGAACAGGAUUAGAUACCCUGGUAGUCCACGCCGUAAACGAUGAUCACUCGUUGUUGGCGAUACACAGUCAGCGACCAAGCGAAAGCGAUAAGUGAUCCACCUGGGGAGUACGUUCGCAAGAAUGAAACUCAAAGGAAUUGACGGGGGCCCGCACAAGCGGUGGAGCAUGUGGUUUAAUUCGAUGAUACGCGAGGAACCUUACCUGGGCUCAAACGUAAGUUGACGUAUUGGGAAACCAAUAUUUCUUCGGACAAUUUACAAGGUGCUGCAUGGUUGUCGUCAGCUCGUGCCGUGAGGUGUCGGGUUAAGUCCCAUAACGAGCGCAACCCCUAUCAUUAGUUGCCAUCAGGUCAAGCUGGGGACUCUAGUGAAACUGCCUACGCAAGUAGAGAGGAAGGUGGGGAUGACGUCAAAUCAGCACGGCCCUUACGUCCAGGGCUACACACGUGCUACAAUGGCCGGUACAGAGGGCAGCCACCACGCGGGUGGGAGCGAAUCUCGAAAGCCGGUCUCAGUUCGGAUCGAAGUCUGCAACCCGACUUCGUGAAGCUGGAAUCGCUAGUAAUCGCGCAUCAGCCAUGGCGCGGUGAAUACGUUCCCGGGCCUUGUACACACCGCCCGUCAAGCCAUGGAAGCUGGGGGUACCUGAAGUCGGUAACCGUUAAGGAGCCGCCUAGGGUAAAACUAGUAACUGGGGCU